GACGAACGCAGGCGGCGUGCUUAACACAUGCAAGUCGUACGGUAAGGCCCUUUCGGGGGUCCACGAGUGGCGAACGGGUGAGUAACAUGUGAGUAACCUGCCCACAACUUUGGGAUAACGCUAGGAAACUGGUGCUAAUACUGGAUAUGUGCUCCUGCUGCAUGGUGGGGGUUGGAAAGCUCCGGCGGUUGUGGAUGGACUCGCGGCCUAUCAGCUUGUUGGUGGGGUAGUGGCCUACCAAGGCGGCGACGGGUAGCCGGCCUGAGAGGGUGACCGGCCACAUUGGGACUGAGAUACGGCCCAGACUCCUACGGGAGGCAGCAGUGGGGAAUAUUGCACAAUGGGCGCAAGCCUGAUGCAGCAACGCCGCGUGCGGGAUGACGGCCUUCGGGUUGUAAACCGCUUUCAGCAGGGACGAAGCUUUUUGUGACGGUACCUGCAGAAGAAGCACCGGCUAACUACGU
rnacentral:rRNA from 1 species